CCUACGGGACGCAGCAGUAGGGAAUCUUCCACAAUGGACGAAAGUCUGAUGGAGCAACGCCGCGUGAGUGAAGAAGGGUUUCGGGUCGUAAAGCUCUGUUGCGGGGGAAAAAAGGCAGCAUCAGGAAAUGGGUGCUGACUGAUGGUGCCCCGCCAGAAAGUCACGGCUAACUACGUGCCAGCAGCCGCGGUAAUACGUAGGUGGCGAGCGUUAUCCGGAAUGAUUGGGCGUAAAGGGUGCGCAGGCGGUCCUGCAAGUCUGGAGUGAAACGCAUGAGCUCAACUCAUGCAUGGCUUUGGAAACUG
rnacentral:rRNA from 1 species